AUCCUUCUAAGGAGACCUCAACAGUCCUCAGGUUUCUGCCUUCUGCCUAACUGGCUUAGCAAGAGAAAAGAAGUCACAGGUCAGAGUCUACUGCCCUCGUGCAAUGGAAAGAGAGCAAGAGCGAUGAGUCUGCAAGCGUUGUUGAUGCGACGCAGAAGGCGUCCAUCUGGGAGCGGAACCGCCACCACUCUCCAUGAGAUAAGUGUCUUCUUUGGUGAUCGCUCUGCUCAAAGCCCAUCUUGCUCCUGGUAGGGACGCCCCGUUAGCUGGGGCUGGGUUUGUAAGAAAAGGUUCCUGACUAGUUGUGGUUACAAGGGAGACGAUGUCCCCAUUUUCAGGGGCUGCUCAUGUCUCUGGCCAGGACCAGCGUGUCCUCCGCAGCAUAUUAGAUCCAGGGGGAUGACUCCAGCUGAGGAAUUGUCCUGGAGCAGCAGCCGGAGGAGAAAUUGGCAGACGUGGGCCUGUGAGGAGCCUGGACAUUCUUCUAAGGAGACAUGAACAGUCCUCAGCUUUCUGCCUCGUGCAUAACUGGCUGUGGUACCAAGGGAAAAGAAGUGACAAGUCAGAGUCUACUGCCCUCAUGCGAUGGAAAGCGAGCGAGAGUGAUGGGACUGCGAGAAUUAUUGAUGCCUUGAAAAAGCCGUCAAACUGGGAAUGGAACAGUCAUCACUGUCAAUGAGAUAAGUGUCUGUUUUGGUGAUUGCUCUGCUCACGGCCCACCUUGCUCCUGAAAGGGAUGCCCUGUUUACUGAGGCUGUCUUUGUAAGAAAAGGUUCCUGACUAGCUGUGGUUUUGAGAGAGAGAAGAUCCCCAUUUUUAGGGGCUGCUCAGUUUUCUGGCCAGGAGCAGUGUGUCCUACGCAGCAGAAGGUUGCAUCUAGGAGA